rnacentral:tRNA from 3 species
GUAUCCGUAGCUCAGUUGGUAGAGCAAUUGACUCUUAAUCAAUGGGUCGUGGGUUCGAGCCCCACCGGGUAUA